AUGACGAAUAACUAGACCGCUGAAAAAAUGAGGAGCUGACGACGGGCUGA
rnacentral:snoRNA from 1 species